CAGUCGCCGCGGUAAUGCGGAGGGAGCUAGCGUUGUUCGGAAUCACUGGGCGUAAAGCGCACGUAGGCGGCUAUUCAAGUCAGGGGUGAAAGCCCGGGGCUCAACCCCGGAACUGCCUUUGAAACUAGAUAGCUUGAAUCUUGGAGAGGCGAGUGGAAUUCCGAGUGUAGAGGUGAAAUUCGUAGAUAUUCGGAAGAACACCAGUGGCGAAGGCGGCUCACUGGCUCAUUCUAGACGCUGAGGUGCGAAAGCGUGGGGAGCAAACAGGAUUAGAUACCCCUGUAGUCCCUGUCUCUUAUAU
rnacentral:rRNA from 1 species